GUUGAAGAAAAAUGUAUGGUUUCCACUAGAGUUUGUGGUUUACCAGUGUUUGUACUUGGCUUCUUUGAAAGGCAUCUUGAUGGGAAACGUUUGUUUCUAUUGCCAUUAAAGGCAGUAACAUCCCAAAUGGAGGCUCCCCAAAUGGAAGUCCACUAGCCUGAACAAUGGCAAAGUGACCUUUUCUACAGAUGCAACGCACCAUUUCACACCACACAGGAGGAGGAUUCUUCCCUUUGACGUUCAUUCAAAUGACCGGCACAAGAUACAAGACACAGUCGAUAUUCAUCCCAUAUGCUUACACAAGGCCCCAGAGGACAUCUGUGUAAGCUGAUAGAUCAUCUCUGGAUGCCCGGCACAGGAUGAUGAUUCCUGGACUGGCUAAAAGCUGUAUGUUGACUGCCAGCCUCAUUCGACUGCCACUAUGUACGGGUCAACUGUUUCUGGGAUCCCUGCCCGCUGCGAGACAGCUCAAUCUCCAGAGGAUCUGCCUAGAAAUCACGCUUUGCUUCCAGUGAUGAAAUUUAGAAACAUAGAUGCCUUCAUGUCAGAUUUUUAAAGGUGCCACAAACAGAACACUGAAUUGUGCCAUGGCAAGCUCCGAGACCAUUAGUGACAGCAGGGAAGAUGAGUACGACCCUUUUCAGCUAAAAGCAUGAGCCUCAGCUUUCCAUAUCUGGGGGACCGAGGAUAGAGAAUUGCCCCCCUGCACCUGAUAUAGAAUGCCCCGUCCGACAGGAAUCCCCCAAGGAGUCUCAUCUAGGAAGGAAAUCAGGUCUGCGCGAAGUUACCAAUAUUUGGCCACUUAGUCCUGUCACACACUCUGGCUAGAUCUCCCAGAAGCAAAGGCAUAUAAGAAAUGCCUCAGCUAAAAGGUAUGAAAUCAGGGUCUAUUCCACAGAAGAAGGUAGUAAAGUGCAUCAAACAUAACCCUUAUAACCCUGAAAGGGUAAGCAUGGGUGUGAAACCCCCUGUUCCUUCAGCCAACACUGAAAAUGUCUCGUGUAGCAGACCCAAAGGGAUAAGUUUGGCUGAUGUUGCCAUUAGCCUCAAUCUCCUCUAUGCCUGAGCAAUAGAGAGGUGCUAUGUCUUUCACAUCAGAAAGAAUGGAAUUCACCCAAGUAGGACACAAGUAUGUCCACAAAGGUAUGUUUAAAUCCUAAAUCACCCUCAGGAAGGUGGUGUUAGAGGAAUAAAACACAUUCUUCUCUGGGUUGAGUAACAAUGACUUCAUAAGGGCUGAGCACAGUAUCAUAAACCAGACCUCAGAUCUGAUUUGAGACACAAUGUGUUUGAAACAUCAAGAACCUGUAUAACCUUUGUGUAUGGUUCAAAGCAUGGCGAUCUAAAUUUGGACGCAGUCUCAACAUUCUGAGUUUCUCUUUAGAAGGGGAACAUGUUCGAUUGUCCCUUUGUCCAAGAUGGGCUGCAGGUCCUGCUGAAGGAACAAAACCUGCCCUAUACCGACAAUAGUGGGCGACAGGGACCAGGGAGCAGAACUAAAGAAAGAGUCAAAGCGAACUCCAUAGGUUGGCAAAACUGUACUGUUGAAGAAAAUCUAACCUGGGGGUGGGAAUCCUUGGGCAUCAGGUUUCCUUCUUUGUCAGCCUGGCAGAUAUGACCGAUCUCAGGUCCUGUCUCACCUGACGGGCAUGGCCCUGAGUGUACUGACCGUCUGUCUUUACAUUUCUCCUGCCUAGUGGUGCUAGUAUAAAGCCACCUGCUAGAAUAAGGCCCCAGCUCAGAGCUGCGGCAGAGGAUACAUUCUCUGAACACCACUAAUUGACAUUUUGCCUCCAGAUACCUGUCAACUACAGGAAUCCAGGAGUAUCCAGGUGAAAAGCUUUGUUUUUUCUUUUAUCCUUAUUAGAUUGAGCCACAGGUGCCUCUUUGUGACAACUAGGGCAGCCAUGAAAUGGCCAAUGGCAUGGACUGUCUGCUUUGUGGCAUGGAGGGUAAGAUCUGGGUUCAGCUGAUCUUCAGAAUGAGUUUUUCUACAACUCCGACACCUCGGAGGAGGUCAGGAAAGAAAGGGAGCUUCCUGCAAGGGAGGCACACGGCCUGAUAUCAGGGAAGAAGAAUCAAGUUUAGAGAGGAUAACUCUAGCCUGCUCAUCAUGCCAAUUCAAACUAAGUUUGCAAACAGUGUGGGAAACCACCUCCAGCAGCUCCUCAAAUGACACUGAUUGUUCCUCUUUAAGAGGAAAAUCAGUGGCUACACAUCUCAGUCAGGUCAGAAGAAAUCACAGAGCGAGCUCCUGAAGCUACAUGUGCAUGCUCCUCACCCAAACAAACAAUGCAAAGACAAUGUGCUAUCUGCCAUGAUAUACUGUAGUGCGGACACGGAUGCAAACAUCUUUUGAAAUGUUUGGAUGCAAUUUCAAAUGCUUUAUUUAUAUGUCCGGUAUUGUACUAAGUAUCAGUUCAGUGAUUCACAGGAUCGCUAAAUCCUAGAAACAAAACGUUUGUACAAAAUAGUUUUGAGUUUGUACAGUUAACGGCAGACACUGCUAUUUUUAACACAUCCCUUUCAACUAAUUGCCCAACUGCACAGACUUACGAGCAUGCAUAUCAUGAAUGCUGGGACUUGUUUGUUUUCUGAGAAUCUACUGAACCUACUGGUAACUUGUUUGCCAUGUAGCAAUAAAAAAUAUACUAACAACCUGGAUUAUUCUGGUUAGUCACAUUGUACUGCUAUUAUUUUGAAUAACACUGUAUCUUCUUUUUCCGUAAUCUCAACAGACAAGACAGACAAACAACGAUGGUCUUGACCCAUUUAUGGCCCACAAAGCAAGCUUUGCUUUAGCACAUAACCUCCUUGAGAGACUAGAUUGGCAUUUUUGUUCCACACAGAGCUGCAGACACUGCUUCCGCGAAGCGGCAUUACCAUAGCGUCAUGACUCAGCAUUGAGUUCCCUCAAAAUGUAACUUUCUAAACAGUCUGCAAACUUCUAAAUUGGAGUUUAAAUAUUCAAAAUAUGAAUAAAGCUUUAGAUGCAGAUCAUUACGGUUGAUACACUGAAUGAACAGCUCUGAGUCUUCGAGGCCUUGACUCGUUGUGAGACCAAGAACUCCGAUGACAUUAACAGCAGACCCUUUCAAGUUUUAAGGUGGGGUUUCGAUUAAUUGGACCUGCUAUGUCCGGCACAUCCAACAGAUACUCGAUCGGAUUUAGGGCUGCGAAAUUUGAACUUGAACUCUUUGUCAUGCUCCUCAAACCAUUCCUGAACAGUGAGACAGAGAACAUUAUCCUGCUGAAAGAGAAUACUGCCAUUUGGGAAUAGCUCUGCCAUGAAGGGGUGUACUUGGUCUGUGUCAUAAAAUAGAGGCAAAGGUGGAUGCAAGUGCAUAAAUGUAUUCAUAAAAACUAGGAUUAAAUAAACCGUGAAAUAUAAAUCAAAUUAGCUAAAAUUUAUGCACUAAAUUAAGCCUAGGGCUGGCAAGACAACAGACAUAACAGGACAUCGCUUGAUGUUGACUAAUGAAAUAACAAUGAGCAUGACCAAGGUUGGAAAUAGCCCACAAAAGAGAAGAAGACAUACAAAUAAUGCACAAAGUUGCCCUCUGGUGGUCUGGGGGGGAUUGUUUAUCAUGAUCCUGAUAGUCUGCAAAACAAAUAAGUAAUGAUAACCUCGUAAUUUCAAAUUUUAUUUUGCCAGCAAGUGCAAAAAAAUGACAAGAGACGAAACACUGAAUUAAUAUCACAGAAAAAUAUUUUUAACAUGACAUUUUUGGAAUUGAAAUACAAUUCAUAGCUAGAUCUUUUUUUCUCAGCUUGCAAACAUCUUAAAAUUCAAGCAACAGGAAGAAUAUUAAUUUCAGUGUUCA